CUUGUAUUAUGUUAUACCUUGUACGGGACACCCUUUUAUUUCACAAACAUGUUUUAACAUCACAACUGCAUGCAACAUGCUAAUUGUUUAUAUAACAAAUGUCUUUUUCCUAUUGCUACUGGGAAAUGCUUAUUAAUAUGUUAAAUUGCAAAUUGUACAUUUUUUUCUUAAAAACCAAACUAAAACCGUUUGAAACCGCACCGAACCGA
rnacentral:lncRNA from 1 species